rnacentral:rRNA from 1 species
GUCUUAACUGGGCGUUAAGUUGCAGGGUAUAGACCCGAAACCCGGUGAUCUAGCCAUGGGCAGGUUGAAGGUUGGGUAACACUAACUGGAGGACCGAACCGACUAAUGUUGAAAAAUUAGCGGAUGACUUGUGGCUGGGGGUGAAAGGCCAAUCAAACCGGGAGAUAGCUGGUUCUCCCCGAAAGCUAUUUAGGUAGCGCCUCGUGAACUCAUCUUCGGGGGUAGAGCACUGUUUCGGCUAGGGGGUCAUCCCGACUUACCAACCCGAUGCAAACUACGAAUACCGAAGAAUGUUAUCACGGGAGACACACGGCGGGUGCUAACGUCCGUCGUGAAGAGGGAAACAACCCAGACCGCCAGCUAAGGUCCCAAAGUCAUGGUUAAGUGGGAAACGAUGUGGGAAGGCCCAGACAGCCAGGAUGUUGGCUUAGAAGCAGCCAUCAUUUAAAGAAAGCGUAAUAGCUCACUGGUCGAGUCGGCCUGCGCGGAAGAUGUAACGGGGCUAAACCAUG